UUUUGAGAGUUUGAUCCUGGCUCAGGAUGAACGCUGGCGGCGUGUCUAAGGCAUGCAAGUCGAACGGUAGCCGCAAGGCUACAGUGGCAAACGGGUGCGUAACACAUUGGUAACCUGCCCCGAUCUCGGCCAUAACCCCGCGAAAGCGGGGCUAAUAGCCGAUGGUUUAUUUUCUCACAAGAGGAAAUAAUAAAGGCAUCGCAAGAUGCCGGAUCGGGAGGGGCCUAUGGCCUAUCAGCUAGUUGGUGAGAUAACAGCUCACCAAGGCUAUGACGGGUAGCGGGCGUGAGAGCGCGACCCGCCUCACUGGGACUGAGACACUGCCCAGACUCCUACGGGAGGCUGCAGUCAAGAAUAUUCCCCAAUGGACGAAAGUCUGAGGGAGCGACGCCGCGUGAUCGAAGAAGCCCUUCGGGGUGUAAAGAUCUUUUCUCAGGGAAGAAUUAAUGACGGUACCUGAGGAAUAAGGGGCUGCUAAACUCGUGCCAGCCCUGCGCCAUUAAGGUGACAGGGCAAGCAAUGUAAACUCGUAUAAAAAAACCGUAGCGCGACUUUUCCGAGUAAUCGGAAUUGAAAAAUUCGGCUCAUAUGCUGGAAAGCAAUGAUGUGCUGCUUAAAUAUUCAUUGCCAAUCAGCAGGGAAGUCCUCUGCUCUAUUGAGUAUGACCCCUCAGAGACUGAUUUUCGAUAAAGAUCGAAAUGAGAUAGUGCAUCGAGAUUAAAAUAUAUGUAUUAUCAAACGCCGAACGCCUGACAAUUUGUCAGGAUGGUGGUAUAGUCCAAGUUCUGCGCAAAUGGUGCAGGGCCAGCAGCAGCGGUAAUACGAGUGCCCCAAGCGUUAUCCGGAUUUAUUGGGCGUAAAGGGUCCGUAGCUGUCUUAAAAAGUUUUUCGUCAAAUCUCGCUGCUUAACGGCGAGACUGCGGGAAAUACUUUUAAGAUCGAGACCGGGAGAGGCAAGUGGAAUUGCCGGUGUAACGGUCAAAUGUGUUAAUAUCGGCAAGAACACCAAAUGCGAAAGCAUCUUGCUGGAACGGUUCUGACAGUGAGGGACGAAAGCGUGGGUAGCGAAUGGGAUUAGAUACCCCAGUAGUCCACGCCGUAAACGAUGGAUGCUAGGCAUUGGUAGUUUCGACCCUACCAGUGUCGUUCUAUUAAGAUAACUCCUUAAGCAUCCCGCCUGGGAAGUACGGCCGCAAGGCUAAAACUCAAAGGAAUUGACGGGGACCCGCACAAGCGGUGGAGCAUGUGGUUCAAUUCGACAAUAAGCGAGGAACCUUACCAGGGUUUGACAUGGUGCUGCAAGCUUUAAGAAAUUAAGGCCGCCUUCGAGGGUGCACCACAGGUGCUGCAUGGUUGUCGUCAGCUCGUGUCGUGAGAUGUACCAUUAAGUUGGGUAACGAGCGCAACCCCUAUUCUAUGUUAAAUAUUCAUAGGAAACUGCCCCGCCCAAAUUUUCUAAACAUAAGGAUAAGAUUAUUCUUAUUCUCUCGGUUUGAAAUAUAAUUAUUGCAAACCGAGUAGCUCGGAAAAUUUGGGCGGGGAGGAAGGUGGGGAUGACGUCAAAUCAGCAUGGCUCUUACAUCCUGGGCUACACACGUGCUACAAUGGCCAAUACAAUGGGUUGCUAAGUCGCGAGAUGGAGCUAAUCCCACCAAAAUUGGUCUCAGUUCGGAUUGAAGUCUGCAACCUGACUUCAUGAAGCUGGAAUCGCUAGUAACCGCGUAUCAGCCUCGGCGCGGUGAAUACGUUCUCGGGUCUUGUACACACCGCCCGUCACGUCAAGGGAGUCGGCAAUACCCGAAUGUCGCAGUUUGCGGCAGAAGGUAGGGUUGAUGACAGGGACGAAGUCGUAACAAGGCAUCCGUAGCGGAAGCUGUGGAUGGAUCACCUCCUUUCUA
rnacentral:rRNA from 1 species